rnacentral:tRNA from 1 species
GGUCGGUUGGCCGAGUGGUUAGGCGUCGGUCUGCAAAACCGCUUACACAGGUUCAAAUCCUGUACCGACCU